ensembl:snRNA U6 U6 spliceosomal RNA
GUGCUCACUUUGGCAACACAUAUACUAAAAUUGGAACAAUACAGAGAAAAUUGGCAUGGCCCCUGGGCAAGAAUAACAUGUAAAUUCAUGAAGCAUAAUAGCUAAAG